GCCCCUGUCCCUUUUGAAUACGCAAAUGCGCCACACGUCCCCCACCCCCACCCCCACCCCCAAAAUGAUGCCCCCUCAUGUCCCCUCCUCCCUCUCCCUCUCCCUCUCCUUCUCCCUCUCACUCUCUCUCCUCCCCGUCCCCCCGCCUCCUCGUCCUCCGCCACCGCCAUCGCCAUCCCCGCCGCCGCCCCCGCCGCCGACUCUCCCUCAGAAUCGCCGCCUCCGCCGACUCUCCCUCCUCCUCCUCCUCCUCCUCCUCCUCCUCCGGCUCGAAGCCCGAGGUCGUCGUCACCAGAGAGCGCGGCAAAAACUCCAAGCUCGUCAACGCUCUGCAUAAGCAUGGCAUCAGCUGUCUGGAGCUUCCUCUUAUUGAGCAUACAAAGGGGCCUGACCUCGAUAAGCUUCCUUCAAUUUUGGCUGUAGAUGAUGCCUUUGAUUGGAUUGUGAUUACUUCCCCUGAAGCUGGUUCAGUCUUUCUAGAAGCGUGGAAGGCUGCUGGAACACCCAAUGUAAAAGUAGGUGUGGUUGGAACUGGUACAGCUAGCAUCUUUGAUAAAGUAAUGCAGCGCGACGGAACACUAAAUGUUGCUUUUACACCAUCGAAAGCAACCGGUAAAGUCUUGGCUUCAGAGCUUCCGAGAAUUGGCAAUAAAAAAUGCAGAGUCUUGUAUCCCGCUUCUGCAAAAGCUAGCACUGAAAUUGAAGAAGGCUUGUCAAAUCGUGGAUUUGAGGUUACAAGGUUAAACACAUAUUCCACGAUACCUGUUAGUCAUGUUGAUGAGAUCAUUUUAAAUGAGGCACUUUCUGCACCUGUUGUUGCAGUGGCUUCACCCUCUGCAGUGCGUGCAUGGCUCAACCUUAUUCAAGAGCCAGAGUCGUGGAAUAAUUCAGUUGCAUGUAUUGGGGAGACAACUGCUUCGGCUGCCAAAAGGUUGGGCCUGAAGAAGGUCUUCUACCCUAAACAUCCUGGCCUGGAAGGGGCAAGCUUAUUGCUUCAGGAAUGUAAGGCCAGGAUGUUUCUCUAGUGGUUGCUUUUCUUCCAUUGGUUGUUUGCUUCUGUUUAUAUCUGUUUUGAGACUGGCAAACAUUUUAGUUAGAUGCAAGUUGGUUGCCAGGCACCAUCAUAUGGUAUUUUCAAACAGUAAUCUAUUGAGCCCACAGAUGCAGUUCACAAUUACCAUUAAAUGGGCGAUGUGUGCUUGAAGUUAGUUACUGAACAGAAUUCUCUUGGAUGGCAUCCAUCUAAUGAUGCUUGUGUUAACCUUUUCUUACAUUGUCCUUCAACCCAAUAAAAAUCAUUUCCCAUUGGUAACUGAGAUUCAGCUAUACCGUGGUUAAAGGUCUUCUUAGGUAAAGUAAAUCUAAAGUAUUGUAUCUGUUUGUAUAAACAAAAUACUGGCUAAAGGUUUAGAGAGCACAUGGUUUGUGAUUUACUAAUUGCAUUUCAACAGGUCAGGCAAUGAAAACUCUCUUUAGAAAGUCACACCUAUGCUGGGGCGUGUGAUGCGAUACUUGAUACUAAUCAGUAGCCUUACUAGCUUCUUGGGGGUUGACAUUAAGGUCAAUUCCCCAAAUUUGCAAUUUAGAUAGUGUAUGUAUUGAUGCAUUCAACUCCUCGACAUUAUCAUUGGAUUCAAUUGAAGUAUAUGUGCAGAGAAUUGUACUCUAGCUGAGCCCAAAUUGAUGAGAUAUGACUCUAAAUCUUAAUCCAUGAUAACCGAAAUAUUGGUCCUCUUAUUGCAAGUAGGCACUUUUAUUUCUCUAUCACCAUUAUCUCUUUUGCAUUAAAGGAACAACAUAGUGAUAUUCUUGAUCCAUUUUUAGUCCUUGGCAUCGUUUCUGUCAUCCAAAGAGAUUGGAGAUCUUAAUGGCUGGAUUUCUUUUCUUGAACUUGCUUAGAUAUUGCUGUUUUCUUUUCUAACUUCUACUGAGUAUCAGGAUCCUCCUCCUUUUUUUUUUGUCAAGAUGAGUUCCAAACCAUCCCAGCUAUCAUAUCCCUUCUUCCUUCCUGUUCAAUUUUCUUAACAUCUACACUCUUUGGUAGGUGGGUGGCUAGCAUUCUUGAAGCCCUGAGAGAGAAUGAUCGGUUGUAGGUGGUCUCGAUCAUUCAGGAUCUGAAAAAGAAGCUACAGUAAAUGCGGCUUUCGCUACUUAGGAGAAGGUGGCUUCUGUGCCAUGCAGUUCCAAAAUCAGCAACAAAUAUGUCAAAUUCGGAAAAGCACUGAUGGUUUCUUGCUUUGGGAGCUGUCGGCCAAAUCGGUUUGGUGGCGGGAUUUCCCAGGUUAGGAUGAGGAGAUGAGUUAAUUUUUUCUAUUGAAGCUCAUCUCUAGCUGUAUAUCCAACUUCUUGUACUGACUGUUAAUUCAUUGAUUCAACAUCAA